AGCGGCGAGCGAACGGGGAGCAGCCCAGAGCCUGAAUCAGUGUGUGUGUUAGUGGAAGCGUCUGGAAAGGCGCGCGAUACAGGGUGACAGCCCCGUACACAAAAAUGCACAUACUGUGAGCUCGAUGAGUAGGGCGGGACACGUGGUAUCCUGUCUGAAUAUGGGGGGACCAUCCUCCAAGGCUAAAUACUCCUGACUGACCGAUAGUGAACCAGUACCGUGAGGGAAAGGCGAAAAGAACCCCGGCGAGGGGAGUGAAAAAGAACCUGAAACCGUGUACGUACAAGCAGUGGGAGCCUCUUUUAUGGGGUGACUGCGUACCUUUUGUA
rnacentral:rRNA from 1 species